UGAGCUUCAGCCAUCCAGCCCGAACUCUCCGAUAAGUCAUGAUAACGGACACCACUCCACUCUUUGUAACAAACUCCACGUGGCCCCACCACUCUCUGACAAGUCACGACAACGGAUACCACUACUCUCCGUAACAAACUCCACGUGGCCCUGAACGGCCCACUACCAGACAGUUACGGACAUCGCUGUCAAUCGGUUACGCUCUCCCAUCUAUAAAGUAGACCCCUC
rnacentral:lncRNA from 1 species